GUGGGGAAUAUUGCACAAUGGGCGGAAGCCUGAUGCAGCGAUGCCGCGUGGAGGAAGAAGGUUUUCGGAUUGUAAACUCCUUUUAUCAGGGACGAUAAUGACGGUACCUGAAGAAAAAGCUCCGGCUAACUACGUGCCAGCAGCCGCGGUAAUACGUAGGGAGCGAGCGUUGUCCGGAAUUACUGGGUGUAAAGGGUGCGUAGGCGGGGAUGCAAGUCAGAUGUGAAAUGUAUGGGCUCAACCCAUGAACUGCAUUUGAAACUGCAACUCUUGAGUGAGGUAGAGGUAAGCGGAAUUCCUAGUGUAGCGGUGAAAUGCGUAGAUAUUAGGAGGAACAUCGGUGGCGAAGGCGGCUUACUGGGCCUUUACUGACGCUGAGGCACGAAAGCGUGGGGAGCAAACAGG
rnacentral:rRNA from 1 species